UGGUGUAGCGGUUAGCACUCAGGACUUUGAAUCCUGCGACCCGAGUUCAAAUCUCGG
rnacentral:tRNA from 1 species